CCUACGGGAGGCAGCAGUAGGGAAUCUUCCACAAUGGGCGAAAGCCUGAUGGAGCAACGCCGCGUGGGUGAAGAAGGUCUUCGGAUCGUAAAACCCUGUUGUUAGAGAAGAAAGUGCGUGAGAGUAACUGUUCACGUUUCGACGGUAUCUAACCAGAAAGCCACGGCUAACUACGUGACAGCAGCCGCGGUAAUACGUAGGUGGCAAGCGUUAUCCGGAGUUAUUGGGCGUAAAGGGGACGCAGGCGGUCUGUUAAGACUGAUGUGAAAACUUUCGGCUUAACCGGAGUAGUGCAUUGGAAACUGGGAGACUUGAGUGCAGAAGAGGAGAGUGGAAUUCCAUGUGUAGCGGUGAAAUGCGUAGAUAUAUGGAAGAACACCAGUGGCGAAGGCGG
rnacentral:rRNA from 1 species